CCUACGGGUGGCAGCAGUAGGGAAUAUUGCUCAAUGGGGGAAACCCUGAAGCAGCAACGCCGCGUGGAGGAUGAAGGUUUUCGGAUUGUAAACUCCUUUUUUUCGAGAAGCAAAUGACGGUAUCUAACGAAUAAGCACCGUCUAACUCCGUACCAGCAGCCGCGGUAAUACGCAGGGUGCAAGCGUUACUCGGAAUCACUGGGCGUAAAGAGCGCGUAGGCGGGAUAGCAAGUCAGAUGUGAAAUCCUAUGGCUUAACCAUAGAACUGCAUUUGAAACUGUUAUUCUAGAGUAGGGGAGAGGUAGGUGGAAUGCGUGGUGUAGGGGUAAAAUCCGUAGAGAUCAAGAGGAAUACUCAUUGCGAAGGCGACAUGCUAGCACAUAACUGACGCUGAUGCGCGAAAGCGUGGGGAGCGAACAGGAUUAGAUACCCUUGUAGUC
rnacentral:rRNA from 1 species